rnacentral:rRNA from 1 species
UACUCCUACGGGAGGCAGCAGUGGGGAAUAUUGCGCAAUGGGGGGAACCCUGACGCAGCCAUGCCGCGUGAAUGAAGAAGGCCUUCGGGUUGUAAAGUUCUUUCGGUAUUGAGGAAGGUUGAUGUGUUAAUGGCACAUCAAAUUGACGUUAAAUACAGAAGAAGCACCGGCUAACUCCGUGCCAGCAGCCGCGGUAAUACGGAGGGUGCGAGCGUUAAUCGGAAUAACUGGGCGUAAAGGGCACGCAGGCGGUUAUUUAAGUGAGGUGUGAAAGCCCUGGGCUUAACCUAGGAAUUGCAUUUCAGACUGGGUAACUAGAGUACUUUAGGGAGGGGUAGAAUUCCACGUGUAGCGGUGAAAUGCGUAGAGAUGUGGAGGAAUACCGAAGGCGAAGGCAGCCCCUUGGGAAUGUACUGACGCUCAUGUGCGAAGGCGUGGGGAGCAAACAGGAUUAGAUACCCUGGUAGUCCACGCUGUAAACGCUGUCGAUUUGGGGGUUGGGGUUUAACUCUGGCGCCCGUAGCUAACGUGAUAAAUCGACCGCCUGGGGAGUACGGCCGCAAGGUUAAAACUCAAAUGAAUUGACGGA